rnacentral:rRNA from 1 species
UAAAAAACUUUCAACAACGGAUCUCUUGGUUCUGGCAUCGAUGAAGAACGCAGCGAAAUGCGAUAAGUAAUGCGAAUUGCAGAAUUCCGUGAGUCAUCGAAUCUUUGAACGCACAUUGCGCCCCUUGGUAUUCCGAAGGGCAUGCCUGUUCGAGCGUCAUUA